UUGAAAGGGAAACGAUUGAAGUCAGUCGUACCAGCGGGAAAUCAACCUUUCGAGUGGGGGUUUUGGAGUUUUGAAGAGUGUCAAAACCUUUGAGAUUUCAAAAUUUUCGCUCCUUUGGUGUACUUUCUCGUGGGUAGGUUAACAUCGAUUUCGAUCAUCAUAAAAGGAUUGGAGGAAUGUAGCUUCGAUCUUGUAUUGAAGUGUUAUAGCCUUUGGUAAAUGUGAUGAUUGGGAUCGAGGAUUGCAACGAAUACCCUUUUGGGCUAUCCGCCUGAUCUCUGAUACGUGGCCUUGGCAUCGAAAGCUUGCUUAUGGUAUCAAGGUAUUACGGUCAAAAGGUUANAACGGAUUACAUUCGUUAAGGAUGUUGACGUA
rnacentral:rRNA from 1 species